rnacentral:misc_RNA from 1 species
UACGUAGGGGUCGAGCGUUGUCCGGAGUUACUGGGCGUAAAGCGCAUGCAGGCGGCUCAUUACGCAUGGCGUGAAAGCCCCCGGCUCAACCGGGGAGGGUCGUCGUGAACGGGUGAGCUUGAGGGUAUCAGGGGCUGGUAGAAUUCCCGGUGUAGUGGUGAAAUGCGUAGAGAUCGGGAGGAAUACCUGUGGCGAAGGCGGCCAGCUGGGAUACACCUGACGCUGAGAUGCGAAGGCGUGGGGAGCAAACGGG